UACGAAGGGGGCUAGCGUUGCUCGGAAUCACUGGGCGUAAAGCGCACGUAGGCGGCUUGUUAAGUCAGGGGUGAAAUCCUGGAGCUCAACUCCAGAACUGCCUUUGAUACUGGCAAUCUCGAGUCCGGGAGAGGUGAGUGGAACUGCGAGUGUAGAGGUGAAAUUCGUAGAUAUUCGCAAGAACACCAGUGGCGAAGGCGGCUCACUGGCCCGAUACUGACGCUGAGGCACGAAAGCGUGGGGAGCAAACAGG
rnacentral:rRNA from 1 species